CACUACCUACGGGGGGCAGCAGGGGGGAAGAUUGUAAAAUGGGGGAAACCCUGAUGCAGCGACGCCGCGUGAGCGAAGAAGUACCUCGGUAUGUAAAGCUCUAUCAGCAGGGAAGAAAGUGACAAUACCUGACUAAGAAGCCCCGGCUAACUACGUGCCAGCAGCCGCGGUAAUACGUAGGGGGCAAGCGUUAUCCGGAUUCACUGGGCGUAAAGGGAGCGCAGGCGGCGCGGCAAGUCUGAUGUGAAA
rnacentral:rRNA from 1 species